UCUUAUAUGGUCUAGCGGUUAGGAUUUCUGGUUUUCACCCAGACGGCCCGGGUUCGACUCCAGGUAUGGGAA
rnacentral:tRNA from 1 species